rnacentral:rRNA from 1 species
UACGGGGGGGGCAAGCGUUGUUCGGAAUUACUGGGCGUAAAGGGUGCGUAGGCGGGUUUUUAAGUCAGGGGGUGAAAUCCUGGAGCUCAACUCCAGAACUGCCUUUGAUACUGAAGAUCUUGAGUCCGGGAGAGGUGAGUGGAACUGCGAGUGGUAGAGGUGAAAUUCGUAGAUAUUCGCAAGAACACCAGUGGCGAAGGCGGACUCACUGGCCCGGUACUGACGCUGAGG